rnacentral:lncRNA from 1 species
UAAGAGUGGGGUGGCAGGUAUUAGGGAUAAUAUUCAUUUAGCCUUCUGAGCUUUCUGGGCAGACUUGGUGACCUUGCCAGCUCCAGCAGCCUUCUUGUCCACUGCUUUGAUGACACCCACCGCUCUCAACACACAUGGGCUUGCCAGGAACCAUAUCAACAAUGGCAGCAUCACCAGACUUCAAGAAUUUAGGGCCAUCUUCCAGCUUUUUACCAGAACGUUUCCUCACCAGCUUCAAAUUCACCAACACCAGCAGCAACAAUCAGGACAGCACAGUCAGCCUGAGAUGUCCCUGUAAUCAUGUUUUUGAUGAAGUCUCUGUGUCCUGGGGCAUCAAUGAUAGUCACAUAG